rnacentral:misc_RNA from 1 species
GAUGAAGAACGCAGCGAAAUGCGAUAAGUAGUGUGAAUUGCAGACUUUAGUGAAUCAUCGAAUCUUUGAACGCACAUUGCGCCCGCCAGUAUUCUGGCGGGCAUGCCUGUCUGAGCGUCAUUUCAACCCUCAUGCCCCUAGGGCGUGGUGUUGGGGAUCGGCCAAAGCCCGCGAGGGACGGCCGGCCCCUAAAUCUAGUGGCGGACCCGUCGUGGCCUCCUCUGCGAAGUAGUGAUAUUCCGCAUCGGAGAGCGAUGAGCCCCUGCCGUUAAACCCCCAACUUUCCAAGGUUGACCUCAGAUCAGGUAGGAAUACCCGCUGAACUUAAGCAUAUCAAUAAGCGGGGA